rnacentral:tRNA from 1 species
UAUAGCUCAGUGGUAGAGCAUGUUCUUAGCAUGCACAAGGCCCUAGGUUCAACUCCUAGUA